rnacentral:lncRNA from 1 species
GGAUGGCAAAACUUAGUUCUACCAGUUUCUUGUGCAUUGCUCCUUUUCCUGUGACUGGAUGAGUGUCCUUUUAUUACUUUUACUUAAUUGUUGUAGGGAUCUGAAAUAUAAAAAGAAAUAUAAAGCUAUUCCAGAUGCUCAUGACCUAGUCCACUUCUUUACAGUUGGAUCCUAUGGAGGAACAUGAAAAACACUACAAAGUUCCACUGAAUCCACUCCCUUACCUGCCCUUAGAUAUCUGUAUGAUAUGCUGGAGAGGAUCAUUGCAAGUGGGGUUGAGCCAUUCAUGAGACAUCACACCAGUGCCACACCAAACAGCGAAGUGGAUUGGUAAGAUAGUGACACCAUAUAUGCCAGUACUCCAAAAAUUUAAGAUGGUGGUGAGGCUUCAAUUUUAGGACAUACAUGUUCCAUCCAACCACUGCCUUCAAUUCUCAGCUUGUUACAUAUACCAUCUCCUACAUGACAUCUAAACAAAAUAAGCUCUUCCACUGCCACACCCCAUGAUGAGGUCUAGACCUUAAUUCACACCAUGAGCAUGUGAUGGACCAAUCAAGCAGCCUACCAUCAACCAAGUAUGGAGAGUAUUUCACAAAUGUUUUCCAAAAUUGAAUUAAUAGAAGCAUAACCUUCCUG